rnacentral:rRNA from 1 species
CGGCGGACGGGUGAGUAAUGCCUAGGAAUCUGCCUGGUAGUGGGGGACAACGUUUCGAAAGGAACGCUAAUACCGCAUACGUCCUACGGGAGAAAGCAGGGGACCUUCGGGCCUUGCGCUAUCAGAUGAGCCUAGGUCGGAUUAGCUAGUUGGUGAGGUAAUGGCUCACCAAGGCGACGAUCCGUAACUGGUCUGAGAGGAUGACCAGUCACACUGGAACUGAGACACGGUCCAGACUCCUACGGGAGGCAGCAGCG